rnacentral:rRNA from 1 species
GACGAACGCUGGCGGCGUGCUUAACACAUGCAAGUCGAACGGAAAGGCCUUGCUUUUGUGGGGUGCUCGAGUGGCGAACGGGUGAGUAACACGUGAGUAACCUGCCCUUGACUUUGGGAUAACUUCAGGAAACUGGGGCUAAUACCGGAUAGGAGCUCCUGCUGCAUGGUGGGGGUUGGAAAGUUUCGGCGGUUGGGGAUGGACUCGCGGCUUAUCAGCUUGUUGGUGGGGUAGUGGCUUACCAAGGCUUUGACGGGUAGCCGGCCUGAGAGGGUGACCGGCCACAUUGGGACUGAGAUACGGCCCAGACUCCUACGGGAGGCAGCAGUGGGGAAUAUUGCACAAUGGGCGGAAGCCUGAUGCAGCAACGCCGCGUGCGGGAUGACGGCCUUCGGGUUGUAAACCGCUUUCGCCUGUGACGAAGCGUGAGUGACGGUAAUGGGUAAAGAAGCACCGGCUAACUACGUA